UACGAAGGGGGCUAGCGUUGCUCGGAAUCACUGGGCGUAAAGGGUGCGUAGGCGGGUUUUAAGUCAGGGGUGAAAUCCUGGAGCUCAACUCCAGAACUGCCUUUGAUACUGAAGAUCUUGAGUCCGGGAGAGGUGAGUGGAACUGCGAGUGUAGAGGUGAAAUGCGUAGAUAUUCGCAAGAACACCAGUGGCGAAGGCGGCUCACUGGCCCCGGUACUGACGCUGAGGUGCGAAAGCGUGGGAGCAAACAGGGA
rnacentral:rRNA from 1 species